rnacentral:snoRNA from 1 species
AGGAUGUGAUGAGUGGUCAAUGCUCGCACUAAAUAUGCGAGAUGCAUGAUGGGUGUCUGCCUCAAUCCUGAUUACGAAAAUUGGGCACUCUUGUUUUCACCAAUCUAAUCCC